rnacentral:rRNA from 1 species
AGGAAAGGAAAGAAACAUCGACGGUCUUAGUAAAGGCGAUUGAAGAGGCCAAUAAGGCUAUCCCUGAACCACUGGCAAACCCGAUGAGGGUAGGCACGCUUGCCUAUGCUGUGGGUUGUAGGGUGUUGAGAGUACGGAGACAAAGGUGGUGCUUCUUUGGCUGUAUCGAGAGGUCUGGAAAGGCCCAUCCUCAGACGGGUUAUAGUCCCGUACCUUCAGUCUUAAUGGAGUUGAUUGCCUAGCCCUGUGCUACUCAAAGAGUAGAACAACUUGAGCGUGUUGUUUGAAGAAGCGAGGUGAAUCCCUCGCAAGCCUAAGUACUGACACGAGACCGAUAGUAAACAAGUAGAGCGAUUGAAAUGUGAAAAGCACCUGUGAAAGAGAGUUAAAAGAACCUGAAGCCAAGGUCGGAUCAGCGGUGCUAAUUGCCUUACCGGAGUGCUGGUCCAGCUACGGCUGUGUGACCCUCCCCUAGGCUGUUGUUGGAGGGUUCGUCCUUCCUCAAUGGCUGAUGGGUAUGCCGAGACUGAAUAGGGAUAACAUAGGUCUGUGAUGAUAGACACCUUGAGCCAUUACUAAUAGCCUAACUGUGCAAUUUAGAAGGGCCGACUCUCCGGAGUCUGCGGUGACUGUUGGUCAUUGUUUGUAGUCACACAAACUCAGCCUACAAUGUUGUCUCUGCUAAAGCUUAGGAUUGACAAAACUGUCGAAACUAAAGAACUCAGGAUCUUAUGGGAUUUGCAUCUUGAAAAAGGGGCAUCUCGCCCGAGGACUGGUUUGCUAAAAGGAUAAAGGAAUUGACACUGUCUGGACACGAAAGUGAUCGGAAAAGCUAAGACCUGUAACUGGAUGCCUCAACUGGUUUAGUACUUUCAGAAGUACAAAGGGAUAUUCUGAGUAUCAGUCGUAUUAAUCAAAAGGAAUUAGCGCUUCCCGUCUUGAAACACGGAUCAAGGAGUCUACUGUCAGUGCAAGUAUAAAGGAAUAGGGUUUGCAAAACCUAGAUAAGGAGAUCUCAUCUUGAGGUCUGUGGUGCGUAGUGAAAGCAAAACCUGUGCAGGUGUCUAGUUCUCUUUCCGGAGAUAGACUACCCUCAACAGGGGCCGAUCUUGAGUCCACUGGAUCGAGUUUUGAGUCAAAGCAUUGGUAGUUGGACCCGAAAGGUGGUGAGCUAUACCCUUGGACAGUGAAGUCAUGGGAAACUGUGAUGGAAGCUGGUCUUACUGUGCUAACGUGCAAAUUGCUAGUCACACAUGGGCAUAGGGGCGAAAGACUCAUCGAACCACCUAGUAGCUGG